CAAUAGCGUAUAUUAAUGUUGUUGCAGUUAAAAAGCUCGUAGUUGGAUUUCGAAUGGGAGCGGUGGGUCGGGUCCGCAAGGACUCGUUACCUGUUUCGUCUCCGGUUCUUUUUCGGGAUUUGUUUCUGGCGUGGCUGGCAUUGAGUUGUCGGUGGCGUCGGGCCCGUCGUUUACUGUGAACAAAUUAGAGUGUUCAAAGCAAGGUGUGUCUUGAAUACAUUAGCAUGGAAUAAUGAGAUAGGACUUUGGUGGUUUCGGUGAAAGCCGGAUAUUUUGUUGGUUUGCACGCCAAAGUAAUGAUUAAUAGGAGCAGUUGGGGGUAUUCGUAUUCAAUUGUCAGAGGUGAAAUUCUUGGAUUUCUAGAAGACGAACUACUGCGAAAGCAUUUACCAGGGAUGUUUUCAUUAA
rnacentral:rRNA from 1 species